GACGAACGCUGGCGGCGUGCUUAACACAUGCAAGUCGAACGGAAAGGCCCUGCUUGCCGGGUACUCGAGUGGCGUACGGGUGAGUAACACGUGGGUGAUCUGCCCUGCACUUCGGGAUAAGCCUGGGAAACUGGGUCUAAUACCGGAUAGGAGCCAUUUUUAGUGUGAUGGUUGGAAAGUUUUUUCGGUGUAGGAUGAGCUCGCGGCCUAUCAGCUUGUUGGUGGGGUAAUGGCCUACCAAGGCGGCGACGGGUAGCCGGCCUGAGAGGGUGGACGGCCACAUUGGGACUGAGAUACGGCCCAGACUCCUACGGGAGGCAGAAGUGGGGAAUAUUGCACAAUGGGCGCAAGCCUGAUGCAGCGACGCCGCGUGGGGGAUGACGGCCUUCGGGUUGUAAACUCCUUUCGCUAGGGACGAAGCUUUUUGUGACGGUACCUAGAGAAGAAGCACCGGCUAACUACGUG
rnacentral:rRNA from 1 species